GCGUUCCGACGUCGUGCCCAUGACCGCAGAGAAUUUUCUCUACCUGUGCACCCAUUUAAAGGACUCGGCUUCAAGGGAAGCAGCUUCCACCGCAUUAUCCCCCAGUUCAUGUGCCAGGGCAGUGAUUUCACAAACCACGGUGGCACCAGGGGUCUGCCAGGCAUGGCACUAAGUGUCCCAUGGCACAUUUGGCCCUCAUGGAGGCCUCAAAAGGGCAGGACCAGCACGCUCUUCUACGGAGGAAGGAACGGGCACAGCAGAAACAAGGAGAGUCAGCAAUUACCAGCCAGCCGAGGUCCUGGAAGCUGACGUAGAGCUCGUGCCGACGGCAGACCUGCCGGCCGUGGGAGCCGUGGACGUCAUCUGCAGGGACAGAAGGGGCAAGGUCUUUUCUGGGGUUCCUGCUGUGUGCAGCUACUAUGGGGUACCAGGGUGGGGGAUGCCCUGAUGAGCACAUUUGUCAAAUAAAUGAAUGACAGGAAACCA
rnacentral:antisense_RNA from 1 species